GAGUACAAUAGUGAGUUGAACAGGAGAUAGCAAUGAUAUAGCGAUCAUGAUCCUUGUUACAAACUACGAUAUAUAGGAAUGACAGGCAUCGGGAGGACUCAUCCAAGAAACGUUGUCAGAUUAAUUAGGCAUCUCCAAUGCGAUGUCAGCUCUCUGAAGAGGGCAUCAUCACGCUUUCCUGACUCACUCGGGUGCAGAUCACACCUCGCCUUGUGGAUAUAUAAGUUACUGUUAGUAUGUAGCUUGUCUGAAUCAUGCACCAUCAAGCGUCAAGGUUUGCUAGCAUUUGCCCUUGCUAUUGCUUGCCAGCGAAAAUGGCUCUCCUAGCCUGGCAAGCUUCCCGAAGCUUGUGCUGGCGAUGUAAGGGGGCUGUGAUACUAACAUGUUUUACUUCAUCAUCUAAACUCAAAAGAAGUAGUAAUGACCGCAUAGAUCAAAAGACCGAGAUUUAAGAUUAAAAAAAAUUAUUGUAAAACAUUGGUUCCAUGCACUACGAGAGAUGAAACAUGACGGUAAACAAUACUAAUCUAUACUAGUGUUCGAAAAGAAUUAGUAUAAAAUCAUCGAACGAUCAAGAUUAAUUGUAUACUACUGAAAUAUUCACAUGUGCUAUGGGUAGUAUACAUGAGUAGUAUAGAUAGUAUAAGGAUAUCAUGGUAAAAAAACACAAAUAACAUCAUUAUAUUUUAUUUUUAACACUAGCAUAAAGUUUAAAAGAUCAUUCCAUUUAAAAUAUCACCUUUUACAAUGUAAUAAUUACUAAAUUAUCCAUAGUAACGAACUAUUAUAUCUUAUAUAUACUAUACCACUAAGUAGUAGUAUUGUGUAUCGUAAAAAAAAACUUUUCUCAAGAAACCAAAGGAAGGAUAGUAGCUGGACAAUCUGUCAUUGAAUGGAACAGUAAUAGUCAAAAGUAAUGAAUAUUUCUGGGCCACAGGUAGAGCAUUUCAUUGGACAAUAGCCCGUCUCUCAGCCAGCCAGGGCCAUAUAUAGCAUUUAUCCCCGCCCAUAACUGCUCAUUUGUGUCUUGCAGUUGCUUCUGUAGGCUGAAUCAUCCAUCGUGGCGUUCAUUCAUCCUCGCCUGCUGCCACUGCAGCCUAUAUGUAUAGACACAUGCCAACUCUGUAUUUGCUUCUUUUAUUUACACACACACACACACACACACACACACA
rnacentral:lncRNA from 1 species